rnacentral:rRNA from 1 species
GACGAACGCUGGCGGCGUGCUUAACACAUGCAAGUCGAACGGAAAGGCCCUGCUUUUGUGGGGUGCUCGAGUGGCGAACGGGUGAGUAACACGUGAGUAACCUGCCCUUGACUUUGGGAUAACUUCAGGAAACUGUGGCUAAUACCGGAUAGGAGCUCCUGCUGCAUGGUGGGGGUUGGAAAGUUUCGGCGGUUGGGGAUGGACUCGCGGCUUAUCAGCUUGUUGGUGGGGUAGUGGCUUACCAAGGCUUUGACGGGUAGCCGGCCUGAGAGGGUGACCGGCCACAUUGGGACUGAGAUACGGCCCAGACUCCUACGGGAGGCAGCAGUGGGGAAUAUUGCACAAUGGGCGGAAGCCUGAUGCAGCAACGCCGCGUGCGGGAUGACGGCCUUCGGGUUGUAAACCGCUUUCGCCUGUGACGAAGCGUGAGUGACGGUAAUGGGUAAAGAAGCACCGGCUAACUACGUG